rnacentral:rRNA from 1 species
AACGAACGCUGGCGGCAUGCCUAACACAUGCAAGUCGAACGAGACCUUCGGGUCUAGUGGCGCACGGGUGCGUAACGCGUGGGAACCUGCCCUUAGGUUCGGAAUAACUCCCCGAAAGGGGUGCUAAUACCGGAUAAUGUCUUCGGACCAAAGAUUUAUCGCCUUUGGAUGGGCCCGCGUUGGAUUAGCUAGUUGGUAGGGUAAAAGCCUACCAAGGCGACGAUCCAUAGCUGGUCUGAGAGGAUGAUCAGCCACACUGGGACUGAGACACGGCCCAGACUCCUACGGGAGGAAGAAGUGGGGAAUAUUGGACAAUGGGCGAAAGCCUGAUCAAGCAAUGCCGCGUGAGUGAUGAAGGCCUUAGGGUUGUAAAACUCUUUUACCCGGGAUGAUAAUGACAGUACCGGGAGAAUAAGCUCCGGCUAACUCCGUG